CCUGUCCCUAGAGGUGUUGCAUGUGUGGCUGCUGUGUCAUGUGUGCAUCAGUAGGUGGCAGGGUUGAGAGAGCCUAUGUCCAGGCUCAGUGUUGUGACCUAUGGACAUCUGAAUAAUUAGUGGCCUUACACU